GUAGGGAAUAUUGGGCAAUGGACGCAAGUCUGACCCAGCCAUGCCGCGUGCAGGAUGAAGGCGUUAUGCGUCGUAAACUGCUUUUAUACAGGAAGAAACGACUCUUGCGAGAGGCAUUGACGGUACUGUAUGAAUAAGCACCGGCUAACUCCGUGCCAGCAGCCGCGGUAAUACGGAGGGUGCAAGCGUUGUCCGGAUUUAUUGGGUUUAAAGGGUGCGCAGGUGGUUUAUUAAGUCAGUGGUGAAAGACGGUCGCUCAACGAUUGCAGUGCCAUUGAAACUAGUAGAACUUGAGUAAAGUAGAGGUGGGCGGAAUUGAUAGUGUAGCGGUGAAAUGCAUAGAUAUUAUCAAGAACUCCAAUUGCGUAGGCAGCUCACUUGGCUUUUACUGACACUCAUGCACGAAAGUGUGGGUAUCAAACAGGAUUAGA
rnacentral:rRNA from 1 species